rnacentral:rRNA from 1 species
AUUGAACGCUGGCGGCAUGCUUUACACAUGCAAGUCGAACGGCAGCACGGGGGCGAACCCUGGUGGCGAGUGGCGAACGGGUGAGUAAUAUAUCGGAACGUACCCGGAAAUGGGGGAGUAACGUAGCGAAAGUUACGCUAAUACCGCAUAUGCCCCUAAGGGGGAAAGCGGGGAGUUCGCAAGAACCUCGCGUUUUCGGAGCGGCCGAUAUCGGAUUAGCUAGUAGGUGAGGUAAAGGCUCACCUAGGCGACGAUCCGUAGCUGGUCUGAGAGGACGACCAGCCACACUGGAACUGAGACACGGUCCAGACUCCUACGGGAGGCAGCAGUGGGGAAUUUUGGACAAUGGGCGCAAGCCUGAUCCAGCCAUGCCGCGUGAGUGAAGAAGGCCUCGGUUGU